GUCACCAUAAGCUUGAAUACCUUUGUGAUAUUGUAACAGAGUGCACAAAGUUAACAGGUGAGCCUGCACUCUGAUCACUCUGACACUCAUUGGUGACCCUACAGAAAGCUGAUUGGGUAAUUAAAGGUGAUUAGCUGAUUAUGCUAGGUGAGCUAAUGAGCCAAUUAGCCCAUCAGUUCAAGACUGAUAAAGAGGUGCAGGAAGCAAGUACAAGGGGAGAGAGAAAGAGGAACAGGCCUAGCUGAGCACAGUCUCACAGAGGCCUCAGGGAAGGGAGACCUCUGUUGCUGUCAGGUGCCAAGAGGAGGGCCAAUAGCACAGCGGAUAUUGCCCUUCCACCUCUGAAGCCUAGCCACAGUUCAGCAGGAGCCUGGGAUUUCAAACUGUUACAGAGCUGUCAAGGAGGAAGCAUUUCUAUGAUGAACUUAUGGUGGACAUGCUGGACAGGGCCAACAAGCACGUACAGUACCUAAGGGACAAGGGUUCACGCCAAGUGGAAAAGUGCAGAGAGGCAGCAGAAUGCAAGGAGAGGAUUGCAACAUGUGAGGAGAGAUGUGCAGCACAGUUUCUGGAGCUGGAACAUUGCUUGAGGAAGGAAGACAGAAUGCAGCAGAAAGACAUGAGUAGUAUAAGGGGCCUACCAUCAACCAAAAAACGUAGGCCCCUCCCCGACCCUUCAGGCCCCACUCCCACACCCCUCAGGCCUCUGCCCCUAGGGGUAUUACAUUCGAGGUCAAGGCAGACACAUGACUGGAAGCAAAAGGUACCAUGUGACCCCCUCUAAGAACUCCUCCCACUGCCCUCUAUCAAUCAGGAUGGGUUCUGGCUGCAGAGGACCUCCUGGAGAGCGGAUUUGACCAAUCAGGGAGGAGUUCCGGGAUGGGGUGACCCACCCAUAAGUGGGUCAUGUGACCCCUCCUAUCUCCCUCCACCAAUCAGGUUGGGUUUGUGCUUAAUACUGUUUAAUAAAAAAAAACAGUAGUUUUAAAUACACCAAACCAACAGUUUGCAACAAAAUCCUUUUCAAGAAACCCAUACUGCUGUCUUGCACAGAAUAAAAAAAAACCA